rnacentral:rRNA from 1 species
GAUGAACGCUGGCGGCGUGCCUAAUACAUGCAAGUCGAGCGAACAGAUGAGGAGCUUGCUCCUCCGACGUUAGCGGCGGACGGGUGAGUAACACGUGGAUAACCUACCUAUAAGACUGGGAUAACUUCGGGAAACCGGAGCUAAUACCGGAUAAUAUAUUGAACCGCAUGGUUCAAUAGUGAAAGACGGUUUUGCUGUCACUUAUAGAUGGAUCCGCGCCGCAUUAGCUAGUUGGUAAGGUAACGGCUUACCAAGGCAACGAUGCGUAGCCGACCUGAGAGGGUGAUCGGCCACACUGGAACUGAGACACGGUCCAGACUCCUACGGGAGGCAGCAGUAGGGAAUCUUCCGCAAUGGGCGAAAGCCUGACGGAGCAACGCCGCGUGAGUGAUGAAGGUCUUCGGAUCGUAAAACUCUGUUAUUAGGGAAGAACAAAUGUGUAAGUAACGAUGCACGUCUUGACGGUACCUAAGCAGAAAGCCACGGCUAACUACGU